rnacentral:rRNA from 1 species
GGCCCGCACAAGCGGUGGAGCAUGUGGUUUAAUUCGAUGCAACGCGAAGAACCUUACCUACUCUUGACAUCCAGAGAACUUAGCAGAGAUGCUUUGGUGCCUUCGGGAACUCUGAGACAGGUGCUGCAUGGCUGUAGUCAGCUCGUGUUGUGAAAUGUUGGGUUAAGUCCCGCAACGAGCGCAACCCUUAUCCUUUGUUGCCAGCGAUUCGGUCGGGAACUCAAAGGAGACUGCCGGUGAUAAACCGGAGGAAGGUGGGGAUGACGUCAAGUCAUCAUGGCCCUUACGAGUAGGGCUACACCCGUGCUACAAUGGCGUAUACAAAGAGAAGCGACCUCGCGAGAGCAAGCGGAACUCAUAAAGUACGUCGUAGUCCGGAUUGGAGUCUGCAACUCGACUCCAUGAAGUCGGAAUCGCUAGUAAUCGUAGAUCAGAAUGCUACGGUGAAUACGUUCCCGGGCCUUGUACACACCGCCCGUCACACCAUGGGAGUGGGUUGCAAAAGAAGUAGGUAGCUUAACCUUCGGGAGGGCGCUUACCACUUUGUGAUUCAUGACUGGGGUGAAGUCGUAA